GUAGGGGCCACAGGUGGUGCAUCGGGGCAGUCAUCUCGGUCAGUCGACCCGUGGCACCUGCUGGGCUCUGCCUCCUGACCUGCCGCCGGCCCCGGUCUUCCUACACUUCACGUGGCCUCAACGUGCACCUAGCCUGGCACGAGCGCCGUGGACGAACGUUUGGGAUGUAUAAGGGCACGUGGUGGCGACCAACAAAGGUCUCAAUUGGUCUGCUAUAAGGUCACGUCACCAGUCGCGGCAAACGACGGGAGGAACGCGGUUGCCGGCGGAGUGCGUCUGCAGACGAGAGUUUUGACGGGUGGAUCGGACACGUGCACACCUCGCAGACGGAGUGGGACGAAGGCAUCCAAGAUGUCCAGUCGGGGCAGGUCGGCAAGUUACAACAACAAACAAUACAACAUUAACGUAGAGAGAAGGGUCCUGUUGUCCUUCUCAGCUCCCUCUGCGAACCUCGCAGAGUGACGAAGCAGAGCGCGGAAAGAGAUGAAGGGGGGG